rnacentral:rRNA from 1 species
UACGUAGGGCGCAAGCGUUAUCCGGAAUUAUUGGGCGUAAAGAGCUCGUAGGCGGUUUGUCGCGUCUGCUGUGAAAGACCGGGGCUCAACUCCGGUUCUGCAGUGGGUACGGGCAGACUAGAGUGCAGUAGGGGAGACUGGAAUUCCUGGUGUAGCGGUGAAAUGCGCAGAUAUCAGGAGGAACACCCGUGGCGAAGGCGGCUCUCUGGGACGGUACUGACGCUGAGACGGCGAAAGCGUGGGGAGCGAACAGGG